GACGGUCUAGCCUUUGGAGCACUUCCUGGUUGCGACACGACGUCAUCACGUCUACCCCAAGCCCGGGGAAAACCAGCACCAGCGCCGAUAAACGACGCAAAAAAAUGGAUAUUGAAUUAUUUUUUUUAUUUACUUGUUAUUGGAGGAGGAGAGUCGGUUUAGCCGGCUUCGGCGGCAGUAAAACCAGCGACGAAUUUUUCUCAGGCUGGAGGAGCGCAGUGGAGAGACAAGGCCGAUGUACCGCUGCAUCAACUUAAAUGCACAACAUCUGCCUGGGAGCCGGUGACAUCAUGGCCCCAUACGAUGAAGUGCAGGACGACAUGCCAGAGGAUGAGGAGGGGGAGAACGUGUUGGAGGCAGUCAGUGGUGCUCCCUGGCGGGACCAGCUGUCUGCCGAGGUGUCUGCCCUGGAGGAGGGUCUACCCGACCACGAUUACAUUUAGAUG